rnacentral:misc_RNA from 1 species
UGGAUUUGGAUUUGGAUUUGGAUUGGUGUGAAUUUCAAUUGACAAUAAGUAAUUGAAUUUGAUAUCACCUUAAAAUUUUACAAUUUUCAUUUAAAAUUCAAAUUGAAAUCUUUAAUUAUUUCAAAUACAUACACCCCUAUAUCCAAAUGCGAUCUAAAAUUAUUUCUUAGAUUAUUGCUCUUGGUUGCCAACUGAAUGCAUGUUUAUGUAACAAUUUAUUCAUUGAUUAUCUAAUACUAUGUCUCUCCAAUCAGGCCAAGUACAUUUUAGUUAAUAUUGUGCUGGUUGUGGAACUACUGGGAAUUGCAGUAAAUGUGUGGGAGUUGAGACUGUAGUGAAUUGGGAACCAGGCGACAAGUUUGGGAUGGUGGCGAGGAGAGUGCAAGUAAAGAAGAGGCUAUAGAUUAGGGAUAGCAUCGGAUGAAUAGAAUGUGGAAGAGGUGAGGAUAAAAGGAAGAGAGCAAGAGAGGUUGGAGAUAAGGCUAAUAGAGCAAUAAAAGAAAUUGGAUCUGCUUGAGAUGG